UGGAUCCAGACUUUGAUCAUGGCUCAGGAUAAACGCUGGCGGCGCACAUAAGACAUGCAAGUCGAACGGACUUAACUCAUUCUUUUAGAUUGAGAGCGGUUAGUGGCGGACUGGUGAGUAACACGUAAGCAACCUGCCUAUCAGAGGGGAAUAACAGUGAGAAAUCAUUGCUAAUACCGCAUAAGCUAGUAGUAUCACAUGAUACAGCUAGAAAAGGAGCAAUCCGCUGAUAGAUGGGCUUGCGUCUGAUUAGCUAGUUGGUGGGGUAACGGCCUACCAAGGCGACGAUCAGUAGCCGAACUGAGAGGUUGAACGGCCACAUUGGGACUGAGAUACGGCCCAGACUCCUACGGGAGGCAGCAGUCGGGAAUAUUGCGCAAUGGAGGAAACUCUGACGCAGUGACGCCGCGUAUAGGAAGAAGGUUUUCGGAUUGUAAACUAUUGUCGUGAGGGAAGAAAUUGACAGUACCUCAGGAGGAAGCUCCGGCUAACUAUGUGCCAGCAGCCGCGGUAAUACAUAGGGAGCAAGCGUUAUCCGGAAUUAUUGGGUGUAAAGGGUGCGUAGACGGGAAAUUAAGUUAGUUGUGAAAUCCCUUGGCUUAACUGAGGAACUGCAACUAAAACUGGUUUUCUUGAGUACUGGAGAGGAAAGUGGAAUUCCUAGUGUAGCGGUGAAAUGCGUAGAUAUUAGGAGGAACACCAGUGGCGAAGGCGACUUUCUGGACAGUAACUGACGUUGAGGCACGAAAGUGUGGGGAGCAAACAGGAUUAGAUACCCUGGUAGUCCACACUGUAAACGAUGGAUACUAGGUGUAGGGUGUAUUAAGCACUCUGUGCCGCCGCAAACGCAUUAAGUAUCCCACCUGGGGAGUACGACCGCAAGGUUG
rnacentral:rRNA from 1 species